GAUGGAUUUGAUGAUGGUGCAAGGGAGGGAUCCAAAUGCUGAGACCACACUGAAAAUCUGAAUGUUUAAGGCUGGGAAUGAACACCCACGCACGCUCUUUGGCGUUGAACCUGUCCAUGCAUAAUCCGAGGGUAGAUCGCAUUUCCUGCCUGAAGACGAAGGCAGAGGCGCAGCCGACCCCCGGGGAGGUAUGGACGGGACCAUCCUGGUGGUGGUGGGGAGGGUUGGUAAUUGUUGCAUCAGCAUCUGCGAACUCAAACAUGUGUGCAAAGAUCAAGAGGACAAGAGCUCAAUUAAUGGUCCAUGAUGUGAGUCACCAUCCUGGGCACGUUGUCACCGCUUCACGUCAUUCUAAUGGGUGAAAGAUUUCACAAGCUCUGUCACUGUGUAGUGUAGUCUGAUUUUUUUUGUUUAGUUUUUUUUUUUUUUUUUACAAAAGGUAAAAAGAAAACAUGGCCUAUUUGAAUUUUUGACUUCUCACAAACAAUUGGUCUCAUUAAUAUGACCUAGUUUAGUCCAUUGCAUUUAAUCAUUCACUAAAUGUGAAAUAUCUUGUUAAAACAAUUCUUGUUAGGUCAACUAAAGAUUCCUUUAAAGGGGUGGUUUACUGCUUUUUUUCUUUGCAUGAUUGUGUUUAUGGGGUGC